rnacentral:rRNA from 1 species
UGGGGAAUAUUGGACAAUGGGCGAAAGCCUGAUCCAGCCAUGCCGCGUGUGUGAAGAAGGUCUUCGGAUUGUAAAGCACUUUAAGUUGGGUGGAAGGGCAGUAAGCGAAUACCUUGCUGUUUUGACGUUACCGACAGAAUAAGCACCGACUAACUCUGUGCCAGCAGCCGCGGUAAUACAGAGGGUGCAAGCGUUAAUCGGAAUUACUGGGCGUAAAGCGCGCGUAGGUGGUUCGUUAAGUUGAAUGUGAAAGCCCCGGGCUCAACCUGGGAACUGCAUCCAAAACUGGCGAGCUAGAGUAGGGCAGAGGGUGGUGGAAUUUCCUGUGUAGCGGUGAAAUGCGUAGAUAUAGGAAGGAACACCAGUGGCGAAGGCGACCACCUGGGCUCAUACUGACACUGAGGUGCGAAAGCGUGGGGAGCAAACAGG